rnacentral:rRNA from 1 species
GGCAGGCUCGUCCGCCCAGGGUAAGUCGGGACCUAAGGCGAGGCCGAGAGGCGUAGUCGAUGGACAACAGGUUGAAAUUCCUGUACUGCACCGAAUCGUUAUGAGCGAUGGAGGGACGCAGGAGGCUAGCAGCGCGUGGUGCUGGAUACCACGUUCAAGCGUCAAGUCUGAGAGCGAGUCAAAUGCUUGCUCUCAUAAGGACAAGGCGUGAUGAGGAGCGAAAUUAAAGUAGCGAAGGCUGCGACGUCACACUGCCGAGAAAAGCUUCUAGCCAGAGACGGUGCACCCGUACCGCAAACCGACACAGGUAGUCGAGGAGAGUAUCCUCAGGUGAGCGAGAGAACUCUCGUUAAGGAACUCGGCAAAAUGGCCCCGUAACUUCGGGAGAAGGGGCGCUGGUCGCAAGAUCAGCCGCAGUGAAAAGGCCCAAGCAACUGUUUAUCAAAAACACAGGCAUCUGCAAAAUCGUAAGAUGAAGUAUAGGUGCUGACACCUGCCCGGUGCUGGAAGGUUAAGAGGAGAGCUUAGCGCAAGCGAAGGUUUGAAUUGAAGCCCCAGUAAACGGCGGCCGUAACUAUAACGGUCCUAAGGUAGCGAAAUUCCUUGUCGGGUAAGUUCCGACCUGCACGAAAGGUGUAAUGAUUUGGGCACUGUCUCAACGAGAGACUCGGUGAAAUUAUAAUACCCGUGAAGAUGCGGGUUACCCGCGACAGGACGGAAAGACCCCAUGGAGCUUUACUGCAGUUUAAUAUUGGGUAUCUGUCAAGCAUGUACAGGAUAGGUAGGAGCCGGAGAAGAUAGGACGCCAGUCUUAUCAGAGGCGCUGUUGGGAUACUACCCUUGCUUGACGGAUGCUCUAACUCAGG